rnacentral:rRNA from 1 species
CAAUAGCGUAUAUUAAAGUUGUUGCGGUUAAAAAGCUCGUAGUUGGAUUUCUGCUGAGGACGACCGGUCCGCCCUCUGGGUGAGUAUCUGGCUUGGCCUUGGCAUCUUCUUGGAGAACGUAGCUGCACUUGACUGUGUGGUGCGGUAUCCAGGACUUUUACUUUGAGGAAAUUAGAGUGUUUCAAGCAGGCACACGCCUUGAAUACAUUAGCAUGGAAUAAUAAGAUAAGACCUUGGUUUAUUUUGUUGGUUCUAGAUCCGAGGUAAUGGUUAAUAGGGAUAGUUGGGGCAUUGCGUAUUAAUCUGUCAGAGGUGAAAUUCUUGGAUUUGUUAAGGACGGACCACUGCGAAAGCAUUUUGCCAAGGAUGUUUUCAUUGAUCAAGAACGAAAGUUAGGGGAUCGAAGAUGAUCAGAU